rnacentral:rRNA from 1 species
GUAUAAGAGACAGCAGUCGCCACGGUAAUACGGAGGGUGCAAGCGUUAAUCAGAAUUACUGGGCGUAAAGCGCACGCAGGCGGUCUGACAAGUCAGAUGUGAAAUCCCCGGGCUUAACCUGGGAACUGCAUUUGAAACUGUCAGGCUGGAGUCUUGUAGAGGGGGGUGGAAUUCCAGGUGUAGCGGUGAAAUGCGUAGAGAUCUGGAGGAAUACCGGUGGCGAAGGCGGCCCCCUGGACAAAGACUGACGCUCAGGUGCGAAAGCGUGGGGAGCAAACAGGAUUAGAUACCCGAGUAGUCCCUGUCUCUUAUAC